rnacentral:rRNA from 1 species
GACGUAGGGCGCGAGCGUUUGUCCGGAUUUAUUGGGCGUAAAGAGCUCGUAGGCGGUUUGUCGCGUCGGGAGUGAAAACACCGGGCUUAACUCGGUGCUUGCUUUCGAUACGGGCAGACUAGAGUGCGGGUAGGGGAGACUGGAAUUCCUGGUGUAGCGGUGAAAUGCGCAGAUAUCAAGAGGAACACCUGAGGUGAAGACGGGUUGCUGGGCUGACACUGACGCUGAGGCGCGAAAGCCAGGGGAGCAAACGGG